rfam:Felis catus isolate Cinnamon breed Abyssinian chromosome F2, whole genome shotgun sequence.
GCCUGUGUGGCUCAGUCGUUGAGCAUUUGACUUCAGCUCAGGUCACGAUAUCGCGGCUUGUGGGUUCAAGCCCCGCGUCGGGCU